rnacentral:tRNA from 1 species
GGGCCUUUAGCUCAAUUGGAUAGAGCGCCUGGCUUCGAACCAGUAGGUUACGGGUUCAAAUCCUGUAAGGCCCG